CGGUGGGAUACCACCCUGGCGGUAUUGAAAUUCUAACCCGCACCCCUUAGCGGGGUGGGAGACAGUGUCAGGUGGGCAGUUUGACUGGGGCGGUCGCCUCCCAAAAGGUAACGGAGGCGCCCAAAGGUUCCCUCAGAAUGGUUGGAAAUCAUUCGGAGAGUGCAAAGGCACAAGGGAGCUUGACUGCGAGACGGACAGGUCGAGCAGGGACGAAAGUCGGGCUUAGUGAUCCGGUGGUUCCGCAUGGAAGGGCCAUCGCUCAACGGAUAAAAGCUACCCCGGGGAUAACAGGCUGAUCUCCCCCAAGAGUCCACAUCGACGGGGAGGUUUGGCACCUCGAUGUCGGCUCAUCGCAUCCUGGGGCUGUAGUCGGUCCCAAGGGUUGGGCUGUUCGCCCAUUAAAGCGGUACGCGAGCUGGGUUCAGAACGUCGUGAGACAGUUCGGUCCCUAUCCGUCGCGGGCGUAGGAAAUUUGCGAGGAGCUGUCCUUAGUACGAGAGGACCGGGAUGGACGCACCGCUGGUGUACCAGUUGUCCCGCCAGGGGCACCGCUGGGUAGCUAUGUGCGGACGGGAUAAGCGCUGAAAGCAUCUAAGCGUGAAGCCCCCCUCAAGAUGAGAUUUCCCAUCGCGUUAGGCGAGUAAGAUCCCUCGAAGAUGACGAGGUCGAUAGGUCCGAGGUGGAAGCGUGGCGACACGUGGAGCUGACGGAUACUAAUCGAUCGAGGGCUUAACCUA
rnacentral:ncRNA from 1 species